rnacentral:rRNA from 1 species
UACGUAGGGUGCGAGCGUUAAUCAGAAUUACUGGGCGUAAAGCGUGCGCAGGCGGUUUUGUAAGCCAGAUGUGAAAUCCCCGGGCUUAACCUGGGAAUGGCAUUUGGGACUGCAAGGCUGGAGUGCGGCAGAGGAGACUGGAAUUCCUGGUGUAGCAGUGAAAUGCGUAGAUAUCAGGAGGAAUACCGAUGGCGAAGGCAGGUCUCUGGGCUGACACUGACGCUCAUGCACGAAAGCGUGGGGAGCAAACAGG